rnacentral:rRNA from 1 species
AACGAACGCUGGCGGCAGGCUUAACACAUGCCAGUCGAGCGGGCCCUUCGGGGUCAGCGGCAGACGGGUGAGUAACACGUGGGAACGUACCUUUUGGUUCGGAACAACUCCGGGAAACUGGAGCUAAUACCGGAUAAGCCCUUAGGGGGAAAGAUUUAUCGCCAAAAGAUCGGCCCGCGUCUGAUUAGCUAGUUGGUGGGGUAACGGCCCACCAAGGCGACGAUCAGUAGCUGGUCUGAGAGGAUGAUCAGCCACACUGGGACUGAGACACGGCCCAGACUCCUACGGGAGGCAGCAGUGGGGAAUAUUGGACAAUGGGCGCAAGCCUGAUCCAGCCAUGCCGCGUGAGUGAUGAAGGCCUUAGGGUUGUAAAGCUCUUUUGUCCGGGAAGAUAAUGACUGUACCGGAAGAAUAAGCCCCGGCUAACUUCGUG